UUUUACGAGGUGCUGCAUGGUUGUCGUCAGCUCGUGCCGUGAGGUGUCGGGUUAAGUCCCAUAACGAGCGCAACCCCUACCUUUAGUUGCCAUCAGGUUAAGCUGGGGACGUCUAAAGGAACUGCCUACGCAAGUAGUGAGGAAGCGGGGAUGACGUCAAAUCAGCACGGCCCUUACGUCCAGGGCUACACACGUGCUACAAUGGCCGAUACAGAGGGCAGCUACCUGGUGACAGGAUGCAAAUCUCCAAAGUCGGUCUCAGUUCGGAUCGGAGUCUGCAACCCGACUCCGUGAAGUUGGAUUCGCUAGUAAUCGCGCAUCAGCCAUGGCGCGGUGAAUACGUUCCCGGGCCUU
rnacentral:rRNA from 1 species